CAGGCCUCGCCCAAUCCCCUCACCCGCACGCCCGCACCCCUUUCUCCCUCCUCGAUCUCUCUCCCUGGUCAGCCGCCACGAACCCUAUCCCCCUUUCCAUAUGAUCCCACGGCCACUACGCCCCUCCCGCAUCGGCCCCUUCUCAUCCUCCAUCCCUUGCUUCUCUACUCUCAUGCGAAGGAGGAAGAUGCAAACAACAUUGGCUUUGGGAGAUAGCUCGUCCGUCUGCAGGCAAAGGCGACGGGACCGGCAUCCUGGGCGGAGGCUGGACUCCAGGAACUAGCCGAGGUAGUCCUCGCCAAGGAAGUGGGCGACAGCGCAAUGGGCUCAUCCUUCUGGGUGCUUAGCCAUCGAUUAAGAUUUGGAGGGAGACCAGGAGACCCCGGCAAAAACGAGUGUGCUAACGGAGGCUCCGGGGAUGCAGGGUGAUAGGGCCCAGUAUAUCCUCUUAUUGUGCUAUUGGCUUCCAGAUGGAAUUUGGACAAGGAAAAGGAGACCCAUGCGAAAUCGAGCGUCCUGGUGGUGCCUCGAUGCGGGCCGAUGGAUAGCACCGUUGAGCAUGGUGCUUGGUGCAACGCGCUGGAUAGGUGGCAGGAGAGGUGACCAUGGGUGUGGCUUGGGCAGCUCCACACACAUCAAGCGACGGCGAGCGCAUCCGACGCCACCAUGCUGGUGGUCCCGGAGAACAAGGUAUACAUCUGAGGUAUGAAGAUGAUAGGGCAGUGGUUGGAAAAUUCGUUGGUACAAAAUUCAUUGACAAACUGCAACUGGCUUAUUGAUACGUCUCCAACGUAUCUAUAAUUUUUUAUUGUUCCAUGCUAUUAUAUUACCCGUUUUGGAUGUUUAUGGGCUUUAC